GCCACACCUGAGGCAUAUAGAGUUCCCAGGCCAAGGACAGAAUCAGCGUUGCAGCUGCUGGCCUACACCACAGCUGCAGCAACGCCAGACCUGAGCUUGUGCAACGCUGGAUCCCUAACCCACUGAGCAAGGCCAGGAAUCGCAGCCAUAUCCUCAUGGAUACUAUUCAAGUUUUUAACGCGCUGAGCCACAACUGGAACUCCUAUUGUUGAGACUCUUGAACUAACAAUAUAGUAAUCAGUCAGUAAGUCAUUAUUCAACACCCACCAAGUUUAGGGCAUAAAAGUUGAGACUGACAGUAAGGGAGCCUGAAUGAAUUUAGGCAGAGGUCUUACCCUCAAGGUUUUUACAGUCCAGCUUGAAAAAUAAGUUAUCAACACAUAAAAAGAUAACUUAUAAAAGAGCCGGGGGACCGUAGGCAAUGGACGAAACGAGGCUUUUCUAUAAAAGCCUAAAAAAGAAAGAAAAAGAUUUUUAAAAUUCAACCUGACAGAACACUGUAAAUCAGCUAAAAUGGAAAAAAUAAAAGUCUUAAUUAAAAAAAAAAUUCAACUGCCUUUUUUUCCCUCCCAAGGGACCACUGCCCACCACUUGGCAUUACCCAAUUACUUUUAUCCUUUCAAAUGUAGACUCAAGAUGAGAAGAGUGUUUUGUAAAACUCAAAAGGAAUUUGAAGAGAAAAAACACUGAGUUGUUUCAAAUCAGAAAUUCCAUAGGGAUAAUGAUAGCCUAGAAAACAAUGGUCUUGGGAGUUCCCAUUGUGGCUCAGCAGAAACGAACCCAACUAGCAUUCGUGGCCUCGCUCAGUGGGUUAAGGAUCCAGUGUAGCCAUGAGCUGUGGUGUAGGUCGCAGAAGUGGCUCGGAGCCCAUGUUGCUGUGGCAGUGGCAUAGGCUGGCAGCAGUAGCUCGGAUUCAACCCCUAGCCUGGGAGCUUCCAUAUGCCCCAGGUGUGGCCCUAAGAAGGAUACUCCCCUUUUAUCUGCAUAAGGACUGUCUUGUGGGCCAGCGGUAGCCCUGGAAAGGCCCCCACCCUGUGCUCACCAUCACCCCGCUUUCCCUUUUCAGUUCCUACAAGGGGAGUGACUCUCUGUUUCAACCUCCCAGGGCUGCUCUGAGGACAUAAAGGUGAAAAUGCCCAUUGCUCU
rnacentral:lncRNA from 1 species